rnacentral:rRNA from 1 species
UACGGAGGAUGCAAGCGUUAUCCGGAAUGAUUGGGCGUAAAGCGUCCGCAGGUGGCAAUGUAAGUCUGCUGUUAAAGAGUUUGGCUCAACCAAAUAAAAGCAGUGGAAACUACAUAGCUAGAGUACGUUCGGGGCAGAGGGAAUUCCUGGUGUAGCGGUGAAAUGCGUAGAUAUCAGGAAGAACACCGGUGGCGAAAGCGCUCUGCUAGGCCGUAACUGACACUGAGGGACGAAAGCUAGGGGAGCGAAUGGG